rnacentral:rRNA from 1 species
AUUGAACGCUGGCGGCAUGCCUUACACAUGCAAGUCGAACGGCAGCACGGGAGUAAUCCUGGUGGCGAGUGGCGAACGGGUGAGUAAUGUAUCGGAACGUGCCCAGUCGUGGGGGAUAACGUAGCGAAAGCUACGCUAAUACCGCAUACGAUCUAUGGAUGAAAGCGGGGGAUCGCAAGACCUCGCGCGAUUGGAGCGGCCGAUAUCAGAUUAGGUAGUUGGUGGGGUAAAGGCUCACCAAGCCGACGAUCUGUAGCUGGUCUGAGAGGACGACCAGCCACACUGGGACUGAGACACGGCCCAGACUCCUACGGGAGGCAGCAGUGGGGAAUUUUGGACAAUGGGCGCAAGCCUGAUCCAGCAAUGCCGCGUGCAGGAUGAAGGCCUUCGGGUUGUAAACUGCUUUUGUACGGAACGAAACGGCGAGCUCUAAUACAGUUUGCUAAUGACGGUACCGUAAGAAUAAGCACCGGCUAACUACGUGCCAGCAGCCGCGUAA